UGUGAUUUCAGUGCCAAUUCUUGUCUGAGAAAAUGAGUGAUCCAGCAAAGAAACCGGCGGAGUCCACACCUGGGACUGAUGAUGGCUCCGGAGGAGAGGGCAAGGGAGAGUUAGGAGGCUUACAAAACAAUAGUUCAUACACAUUAACGGGAAGAAGGGAAAAGGUGGAAAAGGGGGACACGGCCAUGGGCAUGGAAAAGCCGGGGAGCAUGGAGGAGAUCAUGGAGGCGACCAUAAAGGAAAAGGAGGCGAGCAUAAAGGAAAAGGAGGCGAGCAAGGAGGAGAUCAUGGAGGCGACCAUAAAGGAAAAGGAGGUGACAACGGAGGAAAAGCAGGUCGUGGAGGACAUUAAAGAUUUAAUCAUGCACCAUUUGUAUCUGUUUCAUCACGGUAGCUAUUAAGGAAAAAACAUGUUGAGCGAUUUAUUAAAGUUGACAAAUCUCGAAUAAAACCUACUUAUAAAACAGAGUCAUAUGUUUAUAUAACUUCUUAAUGCAUAAUAAUCAUGCAAUUCAAUGAACAUUUUACAAAAUAGAAACACAAAAAUUAUAGCAAAAUGUGUCUUUUUUUGCCAUCUAAAUAAGUCACUAUAUGUCAGAGUCAUCGAGAUACUAUCAUACUACACCAUUCCUGUGUAGCCCAUACCAGAACAACACAUCAAACAUUCAGUGAAGGACAGCUCAACGCCAUUUUUAUCAUUUUACUCACAUACAGAACAUUAACCAACGGGGUAGUAAUAAACCCGGAACAAUGACCAUGUAUGUCCCUGAGUCUUGGAAAUAUAAUAAUAUAUAUAUCUGCAAACUGUUGGCUAGACAGCACGUGCCAAUACCAGAGUGAGCACAUUCGCUAUAUAACGCACAAAAAAAUCUGAGUUGAAAAUGCGAUGGAAACAAUUUACUUGUAUUUGACUGCAAAAUAUAUUUUUUUGUGCACUACGUCAUCACGCACAGACUUUUAUCAGCAGCAAAUAAAUUUGAUGGAAAAAGAUCUGUGGUGGGAAAAUACUUAUAUUUUAUGUAAACGGAUUUAAAAACAUAUUCGCAUAAAAAUCUGUCGCCAAUUGGAUAGAAAAAUAACUCGUUU
ensembl:lncRNA